rnacentral:snRNA from 1 species
GGUUGCAAGGUCAAUCUCAUGAUGACAUUGGUCUUCCCCAUUGAUUCUGGAGUUUAUCAGACUGAUCUGGCUGGAUGGGCAAGUGUCUCUUUUCUCCCUCUCUGCUUUACAUGCACACUUAAUAGAAAAGGACAACCUUCCCUGAGAGAAGUGUCCUGUUCUUUUUUUCAAGGGUAAAGGCAA